AACGAACGCUGGCGGCGCGCCUAAUACAUGCAAGUCGAGCGAGAAGACGUAGCAAUACGUUUGUAAAGCGGCGAACGGGUGAGGAAUACAUGGGUAACCUACCCUCGAGUGGGGAAUAACUAGCCGAAAGGUUAGCUAAUACCGCGUACGCUCCUUGGACUUCGGUUCAGGGAGGAAAGCGAUACCGUGGGUAUCGCGCUCUUGGUUGGGCUCAUGUCCUAUCAGCUUGUUGGUGAGGUAACGGCUCACCAAGGCUUCGACGGGUAGCUGGUCUGAGAGGACGAUCAGCCACACUGGCACUGCGACACGGGCCAGACUCCUACGGGAGGCAGCAGUAAGGAAUAUUGCGCAAUGGGCGAAAGCCUGACGCAGCGACGCCGCGUGGGGAUGAAGGUCUUCGGAUUGUAAACCCCUUUCGGGAGGGAAGAUGGAACGAGCAAUCGUUCGGACGGUACCUCCAGAAGCAGCCACGGCUAACUUCGUGCCAGCA
rnacentral:rRNA from 1 species